GACGAACGCUGGCGGCGUGCUUAACACAUGCAAGUCGAACGGAAAGGCCCUGCUUUUGUGGGGUGCUCGAGUGGCGAACGGGUGAGUAACACGUGAGUAACCUGCCCUUGACUUUGGGAUAACUUCAGGAAACUGGGGCUAAUACCGGAUAGGAGCUCCUGCUGCAUGGUGGGGGUUGGAAAGUUUCGGCGGUUGGGGAUGGACUCGCGGCUUAUCAGCUUGUUGGUGGGGUAGUGGCUUACCAAGGCUUUGACGGGUAGCCGGCCUGAGAGGGUGACCGGCCAAAUUGGGAAUGAGGUACGGCCCAGACUCCUACGGGGGGCAGCAGUGGGGAAUAUUGUCCCAUGGGGGGAAGCCUGAUGCAGCAACGCCGCGUGCGGGAUGAAGGCCUUCGGGUUGUAAACCGCUUUAGCCUGUGACGAAGCGUGAGUGAAGGUAAUGGGUAAAGAAGCACCGGCUAACUACGUG
rnacentral:rRNA from 1 species